rnacentral:rRNA from 1 species
GCAAGUCGAACGAGAAAGGGAUUGCUUGCAAUCCUGAGUAGAGUGGCGCACGGGUGAGUAACACGUAGAUAAUCUACCUUCAAGCCUGGAAUAACUAUUCGAAAGGAUAGCUAAUACCGGAUGAAGUUGUUCAGCAUAAGCUGAAUCAUGAAAGAUUGCCUCUUCUUGAAAGCAAUUGUUUGGAGAUGAGUUUGCGGACCAUUAGUUAGUUGGUGGGGUAAAGGCCUACCAAGGCAACGAUGGUUAGCGGGUCUGAGAGGAUGAUC